AUUGAACGCUGGCGGCAGGCCUAACACAUGCAAGUCGAGCGGAGCGGCGGACGGGGGAGUAAUGCCUAGGAAUCUGCCUGGUAGUGGGGGAUAACGUCCGGAAACGGGCGCUAAUACCGCAUACUAUCAGAUGAGCCUAGGACGGAUUAGCUUGCUGGUGGGGUAAAGGCCUACCAAGGCGACGAUCCGUACCUGGUUUGAGAGGAGGAUCAUUCACACUGGAACUGAGACACGGUCCAGACUCCUACGGGAGGCAGCAGUGGGGAAUAUUGGACAAUGGGCGCAAGCCUGAUCCAGCCAUGCCGCGUGUGUGAAGAAGGUCUUCGGAUUGUAAAGCACUUGCAGUUGGGAGGCGUUACCAGCAGAAUAAGCACCGGCUAACUUCGUGCCAGCAGCCGCGGUAAUAC
rnacentral:rRNA from 1 species